ACCUUCAGAAAUGUUGUCUGCUCCCACAGCUCUGAAACAAAAGCACACCCUUCUCCAAGCAGGAGAGAGCCCAGCUCUGCCCCCCGGGGACACCCAGGGCCUUCACCCCAAAUAGCGGAUCCUGUGGGACCCAUAGCACUGGGGCCCUGGGGCACUGGGCGCUGGGCCUGCGUGGAUUUCCCAGCCUUGCUGGAAUUCCGUGCUUCGCAGCAAACUCCUUCAUGCGGGGGAAGCCGGAGGAGAAGGCCCAGGGAAAAUGGGUUGUAGACAAAUGACAGGCGCCCCGUCCUGGGGGAAUCAGGAAGGGGUCCUGCAGCCCCUGGUGUGGCCCUUUUCCCAUGCACAGUCCGGGCCCCCCACGGCUUCUGCAGGACCCACCUCAGCUCCGGGUCCAGGCUGGGCCAGCGCUCUGUCUCCUCAACGGUGAAACGGGUUGCUCAACCCACUUGCAGGUUGUUGAAGUUCAGGCCUUAUCCUCGGGCACAGUCGGUUCUGGAAGCCACAGUCUGCUGCCUGCAAAUGUGCUCCUCAAAUCGCCUUCCCACCCGCAGCCCCUCAGCCCACCGUGGUACCAAGUGGCCAAAGUCUACGGCCAUGCCCCCCGAACGCCUACGAGCUCAUCUGAUCUCGGAAGCUAAGCAGGGUCGGACCCGGUUAGAACUUGGAUGGGAGACCAAAUGGCGCCAGCGCUGGGCUUUCUUCCUCAAACCCCACGACCACGACAGCGCGAUAAACAGGGACCCUGUUGGAGGCCACGUGGGUCACAGGCCUGCACCGGACACAGCACUUCGGCGAAGGCAAUGGGGAUCCUGAUUGGCCGCCCAGGGCCCUCCCAGAGCCAGACGCGGAAGGGGAGGGAGCUCUCCCGGGAGCCUCACGCGGGACACUGAGCACAGCCCCUCCGCGCACACGCGGUUAUCGAUAAACGCAGACGUGACACGUUCGUGGGUUCUGUUUCCCUGGAGGGCAGCUGGGACUGGUGUGAAUUCUCCCGUCUCACCCCACAAAUCCUAACGGGCACCCGCGAGCUUUCUCGUCUCGACUUUCACACGUAAAUUGUGUUUUCUUUUUAAAAUGACUCGUAGCGCGAGCUCCUGGCGUCCGUGCCAGGUUGGAAUAGAGACGCUGUCCCGGGGGGAGAGAGGGGGACGGUUGAGAAUUCUCUGGAACCCCCAGCGGCGCAGACACCCACCCGCGGCUGGACGCGCGGAGCCCGCCCUGGGCCUCCCUCCCCGGCUUCAGGUCCCCGCCUCGGCCCUGCCCACCUGGGGCUGCGCUCCCUGCAAGUCUGCGGCCCCCACGCGGCCCUCGGCCCCGGCGCGGGUCUUCUGCGGACGCCUCCAGCCAGCUCCGGGUCCCUGCGCGGAGGACGCUGAUUCGUGUCGUUAAGCGGGUGAAGCGGGUGUAGACAGAGGGGAGCUCCAGGAGGGCAGGGAUUUUGUCCGUUUCUUUCACUUUUGGAUCUGCAGAGCCCAGGACAGCACCUGGCCCGUAGUAGGUGCCGCAAGAAACGCUUCUUGAAGGAAGGAAGGAACGAACCCACGAGUAUUGCAGGAGGAUUAAAUGAAAGAUCAAUUCAUCCCACCUCACGGUAAUAGGCACCCUGUUUCCUCCCAGCCCCGAGAUUGGAGAGUUUGUUUUCAUCCUCCUGUUGUCUGAACACAGCACAGAGCAAUCCUGAGACACAAAGCAACGUGCCUUUCAAAAUUUUUAAUAAACAUGGAAUCUUGCUAUGCUGGCCAGGCUGGUCUUGAACUGCUAGCCUCAAGCGAUCCUCCCUCCUUGGCCUCUCAAAAUGUUGGGAUUAUAGGCGUGAACCACUGUAACCAGCCUCAAGACAGGCUUUCUAAGACACAAGAUUCCGCGUGUCAACUGUAUCCACGGAAACCAUUCCUUAGUUUAUUGUCACCGCCAUUCCUAACUCUGAUGUGAAAAUCCCUGCGUUCAUCAACAUAACCCAGUUAGGGUCGCACUCAUCACGGGGCCCCCAUUGCCUCUGGCGCACCCCACGACUGACAUCUGCGGGGCCUUCGCGCUAGGCUUCGAGUUUCAGCUUCCGCACCAGGCCUGCCUUUCUGCAGGGGCCAGGGUGGGGGUCGUGUGCUGAUUGGGCCCUCUGAACCGCCACCGCUGCAGAGGGGCUGUUCCUUCCGUCACAUCCCUUGUGCCCGAAUCCACCCUGUGUCUUCUCUUUUCUCAGCAGGACAUUUUAAAAGCCCAGACCCCCUCCUUACAGAGCAAAUGUCCAGGCUUCGGAGGUCACUGUCACAUCCCAAGAACCCCCUUCACCAGGUGCCACUCUUGAGACUGGACUGAAGCCCCCUGGAGAGGUGAGCUUGGUGGGCUCUGUAGGUUUAGGGAACUUUGAGGUUCACUGCCCUUAGGAGGGAAGCCCUCUCCGGUUCUCCGCAGUCCCCACCGUUCCCUAUCGUCACCCCUGGGCACCUGCACUCCCACGGUUCUGCCUGGGCCUUGGGGGCAUUUGAGCCCUGGGCCCAUCCUGAGUUGGUUUGGAGGCUGGGCUGUGUGGAGCUGUGGAAGGCCCUGGGCAUGCGGCCAGCUCACUGCUGGGAGCCUGGUUUUCUCACUGUCCAGCUGUGUGGCUCGGGGGCCCCCGUCUCUAUGUCUCAGUGAUGACAACACUGGCCGUGUGGGUCCUGGUGGGCCUUGAGUGGGUUCCUCUGCUCAGACAUGAGGUGCUUAGACCUCGCCCUAGCUCUGCCCUGUGACCUUGGCAGGUCACCCGGGGUCACUUUCCCAUCGGAGUGGGGGUGGGGACUGGAACCAGCCACUCCCAGGUCCCUCCUCUGAGGUUGCUCUUGGCACUGGUCCUGGGGACAGGGCUGCAGGGGACUCUGGCCUCUCUCUCCCCUCUCAGUUCCACUUGCCUUUGUCCUGCUGCCUGAGAUGAGGGCAUGGACAGCCGGGUACAAGACGGGACAGGCAACCUCGCAGUGGUGGUAACCCUGUGCAUGAACCCUGGGCCUGGCACGUGGACCUCCUGUGACCGUCCCCACAGGCCCGUGAGGCUGAGCUUGGCACUGCCCAAGACCACACAGUCCAUGCGCAGUGGAGCUGGGGUCCAGGCUGCCCACCAGGGCAGUGACUGCAAUGGUGGCAGCAGGGGACAGUCACCAUGGUGAGCUCAAGCCAGGCGCUGCACUGACCUUGAGGGAGGGCUCCAUGCUUCCCCUUCCCACAGCUGCAGUGAGGGCUAGGAGAGCAGGGUCGGCUGCAGGCUUGAGUCCUGGGGUGCCUCUGGGCUGACGGGCCCUGCCUGACCUGCUCCUCCAGUGCCCCAGCCCUGCCCCACCCACGUCCCCUCCUCUCACUGCCCCCUGGCCCACUCCGCUGCGGUCUCAGUGCCUUCCCAGGCUGGGCAUCAUCUGAUGGGAGGAAAAUGAGGGCCCCAGACUCUGUGUCAUCCUGGCAGGACCCCUCCCCUCCCAUGGCUUUGAGCCCAUGAGAUGGCCUUGGACAAAGCGGCAAUGGGCCCUUCCUGAGACACAGUGCGGCCAUCUACUGGGAAACUGCCCAGUGUGACUCUGAUGACUGUGAUGUGAAUCCCACAGCAAAGUUGAGCAGUGCGCAACCUGGGCUACUGCACCUGGCAGCCCUGGCUCCUCCUCCUCUGCCUCUUCCUGCUCCUUCAUUCUCCCCCAGAGCUCUAAUUGUCACUGAGAUUUUAUGUUUCGUUUAACAAAUGACUGUCUCCCCGCUUGAACAGAACCUCCAUGGGGGGAGGGAAGAGUGUCUGUUGUAUAAAUAGUUGUAUUUCAGUGCAUAAAACAG
rnacentral:lncRNA from 1 species